rnacentral:rRNA from 1 species
GCUCUCCAAACUCGGUCAUUUAGAGGAAGUAAAAGUCGUAACAAGGUCUCCGUUGGUGAACCAGCGGAGGGAUCAUUACCGAGUUUACAACUCCCAAACCCAAUGUGAACGUUACCAAACUGUUGCCUCGGCGGGAUCUCUGCCCCGGGUGCGUCGCAGCCCCGGACCAAGGCGCCCGCCGGAGGACCAACCAAAACUCUUAUUGUAUACCCCCUCGCGGGUUUUUUUAUAAUCUGAGCCUUCUCGGCGCCUCUCGUAGGCGUUUCGAAAAUGAAUCAAAACUUUCAACAACGGAUCUCUUGGUUCUGGCAUCGAUGAAGAACGCAGCGAAAUGCGAUAAGUAAUGUGAAUUGCAGAAUUCAGUGAAUCAUCGAAUCUUUGAACGCACAUUGCGCCCGCCAGUAUUCUGGCGGGCAUGCCUGUCCGAGCGUCAUUUCAACCCUCGAACCCCUCCGGGGGGUCGGCGUUGGGGAUCGGCCCUGCCUUGGCGGUGGCCGUCUCCGAAAUACAGUGGCGGUCUCGCCGCAGCCUCUCCUGCGCAGUAGUUUGCACACUCGCAUCGGGAGCGCGGCGCGUCCACAGCCGUUAAACACCCAACUUCUGAAAUGUUGACCUCGGAUCAGGUAGGAAUACCCGCUGAACUUAAGCAUAUCAAUAAGCGGAGGAAAAGAAACCAACAGGGAUUGCCCCAGUAACGGCGAGUGAAGCGGCAACAGCUCAAAUUUGAAAUCUGGUCCCUAGGGCCCGAGUUGUAAUUUGUAGAGGAUGCUUUUGGUGAGGUGCCGCCCGAGUUC